GACGAACGCUGGCGGCGUGCUUAACACAUGCAAGUCGAACGAAGAGCGAUGGAAGCUUGCUUCUCUCAAUCUUAGUGGCGAACGGGUGAGUAACGCGUAAUCAACCUGCCCUUCAGAGGGGGACAACAGUUGGAAACGACUGCUAAUACCGCAUACGAUCUAAUCUCGGCAUCGAGGAUAGAUGAAAGGUGGCCUCUACAUGUAAGCUAUCACUGAAGGAGGGGAUUGCGUCUGAUUAGCUAGUUGGAGGGGUAACGGCCCACCAAGGCGAUGAUCAGUAGGCGGUCUGAGAGGAUGAACCGCCACAAUGGGACUGGGACACGGCCCAGACCUCUACGGGAGGCAGCAGGGGGGAAUCUUUCGCAAUUGAAGAAAGGCUGACGGAGCAACGCCGGGGGAGGGAUGACGGCCUUCGGGUUGUAAAGCUCUGUUAAUCGGGACGAAAGGCCUUCUUGCGAAUAGUGAGAAGGAUUGACGGUACCGGAAUAGAAAGCCACGGCUAACUACGUG
rnacentral:rRNA from 1 species